UACGUAGGUGGCAAGCGUUUGUCCGGAUUUACUGGGCGUAAAGGGCGUGCAGGCGGUCUGUUAAGUGCAGGGUGAAAGCUCCCGGCUCAACUGGGAGAGGUCCUUGCAUACUGGCGGACUUGAGGGGGGUAGAGGAAAGUGGAAUUCCCGGUGUAGUGGUGAUAUGCGUAGAUAUCGGGAGGAACACCUGUGGCGAAGGCGGCGUUUCUGGGCCCUACCUGACGGCUGAGACGCGGAAAGCGUGGGAAGCGAACCGG
rnacentral:rRNA from 1 species